rnacentral:lncRNA from 1 species
GUAAUAUUUCAUUGAACAAGGAGUUUUGUCUCUCUUCUUUGACUGUGAGGCAUGUAGUACCCCAAAUAUGAUGCUCUGAGUGUUGAUAUUUUAUAGAGUUUUCCCAAGUAAAUUCAAAGCAUGAUCAUGUUGUGACUUCCAGAGAAUGAACACCCUGAGUGCUGAUCCUGAUUUUGUAAAUGUGGUAACACGGUUCCCAUUUUGUAUUGGAAAAUUAUACUGAGCUUAGAAAAAAUGAAAAUGUAGAAUGAGAAAAGUAGAAUUGGGAAUAUAUCACCCCCUUUGUACCUCUGAGGGAAACCCAAGGCAGUUAUUUAGAUAAGUAUUACCAAAUGACUUUUUAAAAAUCCAUUUCUGUAUUGUAUACAGUAGUCUCGAUCUUGGCUUUGUGUUUUGUUCAGUUAACCCACACACCCCUCAGAGUUAGAUGUUAUCCAUGUUCAGUAAAUCUUUAGUCUGUUUUUAUAGGCUACAACAAACACAUCCUUCUCAUGAAAGGGACAGAAUACUCAGAGACACAAGACAGUUUUCUCAGUGACCCCAGUGGUCAUUUAACUAGUCAGCUAGCAUGGAAAAACUGGGAAGCACAAGUAAAACAGUAAAUUAUCCCAAAUCCUUACUGAGAUCCUUCCAGAUAUUGUCCCAUAUAAAUAUAUUUUUCCUUUAACAAGAAAAACCAUACCCUGGACACACUUCUAAUGCCCCUUCCCAAAAAAAAAAAAUUCAAGAAUGUCUUCCAUGUCAGUAAAUAAUAGAUCUACAUCCUUUAAUGAAUACCUAAUUGUGUUCAUUUCUCAUUGCUGUGACAAACUACCUGACAAAGGAGAAAAGGUUUGUUUUCUUUUAAGGUUUCUGAGGUUCCAGUCCACGGUCAGCUGGCUAUCAGGCCUGUGGUAAGGCAGAAAUAUGGCAGAAGCACAUGACAAGGGAAAGCUGCCUCACCUCGUGGCAGCCAGGGAGCAGGGAGAAGAGCCAGGGGGAAAAGAGCCUAUGAGCAGAUAAUUGCCAAAGUUACACCCCCAGGAGCACUCCUUUCCAGUAGGCCCUACCUUCUGUUUCCAUCACCUUCUGACAGUGUCAUCAGAUUGUGAUUUCAUCAGUGGGUUCAUCCAUUUGAUAAAAUUAGAGGCUUCCUGAUCUGGUCACCAUCCUCUGAACACAGAAGCUUUUGGGGGAACAUUUUAGGAAUGUCUUUGAACGAUGGAGGCAAAAACAUGAUAAAAUUCUCCUACUGAAGAAACCAAGGCUUCUCGUUGGUCCUGGUGCUCCCUGAGGCCCAGGCCAAGGGCAGAAGGUCCCCGAGGCCAGCUCUGCUCCCCUCACGUCUUUCAUCAUCGCAAGGGACAGCUGGGAACAGCGAGGGGCCCGUCCCCUCCUCCUGUCACACCACAGCUCUGAGGAAGUCACUGCUCGGCGAACCUCUCCGGCCUCACUUCCUGUCCUAAGGUGACCGGAGACCCAGCAAUGGGGCACAGGACCCCCUGUGCCCCCUGGCUUUCAGCCAUGGCACCGCUUCAGUCUGCUCGGCCAGUUGCUUUUGGUGCCCUGGCAGGGAUUAAAUAAAACGUGGUAAAGAACUGAAAUGCCCUACAGUCUACACAGUGCAAGUCACAUAGCACAAGUAAAAGAAUGGCACUAAGGGCGGGAGGCCCAGCUCGAUCAGAAGACGCACUCGAACUCCGUCUGGUUGGUGGUGGCUGGGUUGCGGCUCUGGUUGGUAGUCUGCUGGGUGAUCUGGCUGCCCUUCCAGUGUGGUGGAGCCAGGUACUCGAACAUGGACGUCAGGUGGGUGGACAACAUGCCCUUGAGGUCCAAGGGCAUGGAGUCGGACCAGAAGAAGUCGUGGUUGGCGUCAUCGCUGUUGAUGCGCUGUGCGGGGUCCAGGACCAGCAGCUUGUCAGUGAGGUCCAGGGCAUACAGGUCAUGCACAUAGGCCUUCAGCCUGUCUUUCGCCUUCCGCUUCUGGCCCUUGACCAGGUCCAGCUUCUCAAAUAGCUCGUACUUGUCCACAUUUGGCCACACCUCGGGGGUGAUGGAGCCACAGAGCUGGCUGAUGAGGGCGAGCUGGUGCCGCCCCGUGUUGCCCUGCAUGAUGGGGCUGCGGGUCCACAUCUCAGCCAUGAUGCACCCUGUGCCCCACGGGUCAAUGGGUGGACUGUAGUCCCGCUCCC